AGGGGUGUAGCUCAGUUGGCUAGAGCGUCGGUCUCCAAAACCGAAGGCCUCGGGUUCGAGUCCCGCCACCCCUGCCA
rnacentral:tRNA from 1 species